AAACAAUUAAGAACAAGCUAGAGGUGAGGUUUGAAAGCGGGGACUCAGAGCCAAAGCACCAGAUAAACCAAAUGAAAUCAAUGUCCAAGUUGAUAGUUCUAAGCUGCGAUAUGAUCGAAUUCUACUCAAAAACGUUAGCCAUGCCUUGUUAUCAAUCAAUCUGACUCUUAUGGUCGACUU
rnacentral:sRNA from 1 species